AUGCCACCCGGCACCUGCAUGCCAGGAGCCUUUCUUUGGGUCGCCCCCAAGUUCCCAAACCGUUUCCAAAAGAAAAGCAAAGAAACGCUCCUCUCCGACGAUGGAAGUCCUGGCACUGCCUCCAGCUUGGCUCUCUUCAUCUUCUCCUUCUUCUGGCAGAGCCCCAGCAUCUCCAAGGAGACACAGCACCUAGAGCGGGCCAUGGCCAGCUGCCUCCCACCAGGAUUGUGCAUCUGAUUAAAGUGGCCAUUCUUCUUUCUGCCUGAGACCACGGACAGAUGAGAUCGCUGAAGACAGGAUAUUUCCAUGUGGCCUCGACACCCCCCUACCCUGAUCCCCUGGGAUGAGAAGUCACCACUGUCACCCAAUUAAAUCCAUGUGCAGAUGAGUGGCUACUGAGGCACUGGGUGAUUCAUUCUCUCCCAAGUUCAUCUGUGGUACACAACACUAUCUCUUACAUGGCGUAGAGCACAGGCUCUGUUUCCAAAUAAGUAUGCAGGAAAGAUCCUGUGGCAUCUCUCACCAUGGGCACAGCUUAACUUAGAUGUCAGAAAGAUGGAUGUCAUCAUAAAUGGUAUUUGGUCCACGUUUUGCCACUGUGAUCCCAGAACUUCAAACGAAAAGACCUUGUUAAGUCAGCACUGUUUGGUCCAACAGCGUAAAUACUCUCAUAAUCCUGUAAUGAUUUCCGAUCCUGAAAAAUGACUCUGUCUUUAGGCUUUCC
rnacentral:lncRNA from 1 species